rnacentral:lncRNA from 1 species
UCAAACGCCUCUGGGAGACGGUGUGCUGGUGGCACAGGCUAGAAGAGCUCUAAUCCAGUCAGGCUGCAAAAUCCCUCUCUCUGCCUUGAGAGCCAACCCUGGCUUGCAGGCGUCCUCCCUUCCCCGCACAAAGCAGAGCUGAGCUGCUGAGGGAACGUGGCAAUGUAUUUCCAUGCAGCAGGCUGGGGAUCACAUGUAAAGGAGUGUUUGAGAGCUUCACCAGGGGUUACAUAGAGCUAUGAGGCCACAUCGGUGCUGUUGAGUGUGGCUUGGGUGUCUGCUGCCUUUGAACCAGCUUCAGACGGACGUGGGUCUUGAGCGGCAGCAGGGAGACGGUGUUGCUUGGAGCGCGGCUGGAGCUGCUCUGUGACCUGAGGAGGAAGGUGAAUGCAUCUUCUGCUCUGUCCGUGUGCCAAAGUGCCAUGCGCUAAUGGAGACAGAAAAUAGCUCUGUCUGGAGAGAGCUUCUGAAGGAGUCUCACAUGGACACCUUGGGUCUACAGUCCCAGGUCUUGUCAUUGUCCUUUGGACCAAAUGGUGGUAAGAAGUACCUCAUAACUAAUGCACUUUGGAGCCUGUUGGGAUGGAUGAGGCUAGCAUUGGAUGAAGUCACUAUCUGUUAGUGAGCUAUGGACCAGGUUAUGAUGAUACUGGAUUGGUUUUACAAGAGGAUAUUAUUACCCAGUACUGAGAAACUUAGUUUCAUGCUGAAAAAGCAGUUCAACCCUCACCAAGAAGUCACUAACCAAUGUUAGCCGUAACAGUAACUAGUAAUUGUAUUUGUGAAUGAAUCAAAAAGAUUUGAGUCAUUCUUGU